rnacentral:rRNA from 1 species
AGUGAACGCUGGCGGUAGGCCUAACACAUGCAAGUCGAACGGCAGCACAGUAAGAGCUUGCUCUUACGGGUGGCGAGUGGCGGACGGGUGAGGAAUACAUCGGAAUCUACUUUUUCGUGGGGGAUAACGUAGGGAAACUUACGCUAAUACCGCAUACGACCUACGGGUGAAAGCAGGGGAUCUUCGGACCUUGCGCGAUUGAAUGAGCCGAUGUCGGAUUAGCUAGUUGGCGGGGUAAAGGCCCACCAAGGCGACGAUCCGUAGCUGGUCUGAGAGGAUGAUCAGCCACACUGGAACUGAGACACGGUCCAGACUCCUACGGGAGGCAGCAGUGGGGAAUAUUGGACAAAGGGCGCAAGCCUGAUCUAGCCAUACCGCGUGGGUGAAGAAGGCCUUCGGGUUGUAAAGCCCUUUUGUUGGGAAAGAAAAGCAGCAGGUUAAUACCCCGCUGUUCUGACGGUACCCAAAGAAUAAGCACCGGCUAACUUCGUG